AUUGAACGCUGGCGGCAGGCCUAACACAUGCAAGUCGAACGGUAACAGAAAGCAGCUUGCUGCUUUGCUGACGAGUGGCGGACGGGUGAGUAAUGUCUGGGAAACUGCCUGAUGGAGGGGGAUAACUACUGGAAACGGUAGCUAAUACCGCAUAACGUCGCAAGACCAAAGAGGGGGACCUUCGGGCCUCUUGCCAUCGGAUGUGCCCAGAUGGGAUUAGCUAGUAGGUGGGGUAACGGCUCACCUAGGCGACGAUCCCUAGCUGGUCUGAGAGGAUGACCAGCCACACUGGAACUGAGACACGGCCCAGACUCCUACGGGAGGCAGCAGUGGGGGAUAUUGCACAAUGGGGGAAACCCUGAUGCAGCGACGCCGCGUGAGGGAAGACGGUCCUCUGGAUUGUAAACCUCUGUCUUCGGGGACGAAACGAGACGGUACCCGAGGAGGAAGCCACGGCUAACUACGUG
rnacentral:rRNA from 1 species